GGGGAUGGGGGGUGGGAUGUGGAGGACAGAGAAAUAACAACAAAAAAAGAAAAAACAGAAAUACACCAAACGUCCUCCCCCACUCUUCCAGCUGAAUGAGAUUUUUAAUAUUUUAUUUAAGGGUGAUGUUUUGAGGAAAGUGAACAUCAUCAGAGAGUGCAAGCGUGAGGAGAGCUGUGUGUGUGGUAUGUGAUAAGCUGAAACCAUACCGAGCCGGGCGGUUUAACUGCUUUACCAGCCAGAUGCAGGGGGUAAAAGGAUGUGGAGCCAGGCGCUAUAUAUACAUAUAUAUGUGUACACACACCCACGGCCCUGCUGCCCGUAGGGACCCGGCCUAGGUGGGCCGUGGCGCAGCUCGCGAGCCGGGUGCUUCCUGCGCUGCGGGCGGCGCUUCCUGAGGGGAGCCGGCAGGGCGAGCGGGGCCCGGCCUCGUUGCCGCGGGGUGCUGGCCGUGGGCUCCGUGCCGGGGUCUUCCCAUAUUGUCCCAGGCUGGGGGCGCCAGGCUCGGCCUGCCUGGGAGACGAUGGUGUUUGCUGCGGUGAUCUCCGCGUUGUGUCAGACGCCGGCAGUAGCGCGGCAGCUACAGGGUGGUGGGGGACAGCAUUCGAAUGACCAGCAAAUGAAUGCAAGGCAGAUCUCAGCAGCAACUGGUGUACCCUGUGCUCUCCUGCAGUCAGACGAUGCCAGGUGAAGUGGAGGGACUUGGGGUGCUUUUAUCAUCUGGUGCGAGCCUGCAGCAGCGAGAGCAGCACUGUGUUCCCCUACCCACUACAGCCACCAUGCACCCUGCUUCUCCUCAGUGACAGGCGCCUGGGUUUCUGUCCAUAAUUGUAGUGUACAGCAGAAGCAAUGUUAGGCUCACUUUUGCAUUAUUUUUUAAGUUUUUGUUUUCUGCAUGAUGACUGUUUGACCCCUCUCCACGCUCUGGAAAGGAGAGAUGGUUGUAUGACUCUUUAUUACAUUUUGUAGAUUACGUAUGCCCAUACAGCAUAUGUUUACGAUGAAUUUAUAGACCCCUAUAAAGGGGCUU
rnacentral:lncRNA from 1 species